GGAUUGUGGCUCAGUGGUAGAGCACUUGCCUAGCAUGUGUGAGUCACUGAGUUCAAUCCUUAGCACCA
rnacentral:tRNA from 1 species